CGUUUUCGACCUUGGUACAAUCUCAUCACGCCAGAUAUCUACUAGUAUUGUACCACUCUGUGUACGGAUGGAGCAUAUGGGAACAAUCGUAGUCCAGAUCUUCCUCAGCGUCUAUCAGUAUGCUAAAGUCUAAUUGUUUGAGAGCCUUCCCAUAAUACACUCUUCAAAAACAGAAACGCACAGGAAACCUCACAAAUAUUGACAAGGUGGGUCUAUCCUUUGCUCUGGUUAUGAAGACCGUGAAGAUUUCGGAAAUGGAACACCGCUGUGCUGAACUCGUUGAAGGAGGGCGACUAAUUGUCCUGGACACGAAGCAAAAGUAUGAAGCAAUGCAGGGUUAUCUGAACAAGAACAUGGAUGAGGGGAAAGAAUUUUAUAUUGGACUACGCAGGCAGUACGGCGUGAAGACACAUCACUGGUCCAACGGGGUGGAGAUCGAUGAUAACUUCUGGUGCUCGGGACCGGGGUAUUCACACCGUUCGGGCUGCCCUGCACUGAAACGACACCGGAAAAAAAUCGGUUACUGCAUAGGCACGACGCCUUGCCACAGAGGGAAUAUCAUUUGUGAAAAACCUCAACAGUGAACUAA